GCUUGUGGUCAUACCACCCUGAACAUGCCUGAUCUCAUCUAAAUUCGGGAGUUAAGCAGGGUCCCACCUGGGAAUACCAGGUGCUGUAGGCU
rnacentral:rRNA from 1 species